rnacentral:lncRNA from 1 species
GUCACGUGAUGUCUCCUCAAUCUGGCGCGCGCGCUGGACCUGAAAUAAAAUAAAAACUUUCCAAACUAAACAUGAAACUUCUCCGGUAACACAAUACUAUAGACCCCUUACAGAAAGAAAGAAACAAAGAAACAUACAAACAAAACAAACACCCCCCCCCCCCCCCCCCCAAUCAAUCUAUGUUUCAAAGGGGGAAAGACCGUUUACAAUUGCUUUUUAAAAGCAAUCGAUUUAUAU